AAAAAUUGUUGAUGCGUUUGUUCCCUUAAUUUGCAGUGUACCACAUGUGUGGAGUUUGUCACGGCUCAGAGAAUACCACAAUGAGGGAGAUGUUUGCAACUGGUUGCCAUGGAGUUUCACAGCUGUGUCUUCUAGCCUCUAAUGAGGUACUGCAGCUGUCAUACUGGUUAACCUUGGCAUGAUUCAGAAACGAAGAGGGAACCUCACCUCUGAUGGCUUCUUGUGCUGGAGGCGGACCCAGGUGCUGUUGGU